GAGCGGAUGACGGGAGCUUGCUCCCUGAUUUAGCGGCGGACGGGUGAGUAAUGCCUAGGAAUCUGCCUGGUAGUGGGGGAUAACGUUCCGAAAGGAACGCUAAUACCGCGUACGUCCUACGGGAGAAAGCAGGGGACCUUCGGGCCUUGCGCUAUCAUAUGAGCCUAGGUCGGAUUAGCUAGUUGGUGAGGUAAUGGCUCACCAAGGCGACGAUCCGUAACUGGUCUGAGAGGAUGAUCAGUCACACUGGAACUGAGACACGGUCCAGACUCCUACGGGAGGCAGCAGUGGGGAAUAUUGGACAAUGGGCGAAAGCCUGAUCCAGCCAUGCCGCGUGUGUGAAGAAGGUCUUCGGAUUGUAAAGCACUUUAAGUUGGGAGGAAGGGCAGUAAGUUAAUACCUUGCUGUUUUGACGUUACCGACAGAAUAAGCACCGGCUAACUUCGUGCCAGCAGCCGCGGUAAUACGAAGGGUGCAAGCGUUAAUCGGAAUUACUGGGCGUAAAGCGCGCGUAGGUGGUUCAUUAAGUUGGAUGUGAAAUCCCCGGGCUCAACCUGGGAACUGCAUCCAAAACUGGUGAGCUAGAGUACGGUAGAGGGUGGUGGAAUUUCCUGUGUAGCGGUGAAAUGCGUAGAUAUAGGAAGGAACACCAGUGGCGAAGGCGACCACCUGGACUGAUACUGACACUGAGGUGCGAAAGCGUGGGGAGCAAACAGGAUUAGAUACCCUGGUAGUCCACGCCGUAAACGAUGUCAACUAGCCGUUGGAAUCCUUGAGAUUUUAGUGGCGCAGCUAACGCAUUAAGUUGACCGCCUGGGGAGUACGGCCGCAAGGUUAAAACUCAAAUGAAUUGACGGGGG
rnacentral:rRNA from 1 species